rnacentral:lncRNA from 1 species
AUUCUCCUUACGGUUCCAGCUUUUUAACGAUGGAUCUCAACCAAACCGAGGACGUGAUAUCAGAACUGGAAAUCCUCCACCAACAGCCGCACCUCUGGGACUUCCUGUUUUCACUGCCAAGGCUACAAACAAAGACAGUUCAUGUGGGAGAUGCCACACAAACCGUGGUGCACUUUCUCCAGGCUGUUAGAAAUGCUGUAGUGUUGCUGGACGAUUUGGAUUGGCUGCCACUCAACCGGACGCUCUCCCAGGUCUCCACAGUCCUGCUGAACAUGACCAUCUCAGCGCUGGCUUUCCUGCAGCGGUCUGGAGGAGUGGCCACUGAGUCUGUUUACCACCUUUCUCUGAAGAACAUGGUCUGGGACCUGCAGAAAGUACGGAGCGACCUCCGAUCCCAGUUUGGUUUUGAUGACCUUAAAACAGAACAAAUCCUGAAUUAUUCAGUGGAGCUGCAGGAGUGUCCCUCAGAGAGCGACUUGGAGAGGAUGGUGUGCUCUGUCCUGUCCCACACGUCCAAGGACGCCACUGAGCAAGAGGGCCACCGUGGAACCUGCCCACCCGAGCGAGCAGACGCCAAACACUACCUGAUGCGCGCCAUCAGCCGGCUGCGGCUCUGCGGACAGGUGUUUGGGCAGUGGCAGCAGGACGGCCUGCUUCAGAAGGUGCUCGCGGGUACUGCCCACAGCAUCCAGGCCCUCAGGGACAGGUUUGAAGAGGGGGGCGUGCCGUGGAAGGUGGCAGAAGCCUUGCUUGCUGGACUGGUGCUCCUGAGUGACGCUUUGGCAGCAGGUGGCCCCAAAGACAGCCACACCUCUCCGCAGAUGUAAGGCCCUUUUCCCUCCUCUGUUCACCAGCCUAGACAGCGCUGCAUCUCCAGGAAUGCACAGCAGCACUGUCAGAAACAAAUUCUUUAAAC